AUGUAAGAACAAAGACAAUUGUGAGAUACAAACUCACAAAUGUAAGAAAAAAGACAAUUGUGAGAUAUAAACUCAAAAAUGUAAGAACAAAGACAAUUGUGAGAUAUAAACUCACAAAUGUAAGAAAAAAGACAAUUGUGAGAUACAAACUCACAAAUGUAAGAAAAAGGACAAUUGUGAGAUAUAAACUCACAAAUGUAAGAACAAAGACAAUUGUGAGAUACAAACUCACAAAUGUAAGAAAAAAGACAAUUGUGAGAUAUAAACUCACAAAUGUAAGAAAAAGGACAAUUAUGAGAUAUAAAGUCACAAAUGUAAGAAAAAAGACAAUUAUGAGAAAUAAACACACAAAUGUAAGAAAAAAGACAAUUGUGAGAUAUAAACUUACAAAUGUAAGAAAAAGGUAAAUUAUGAGAUAUAAACUCACACAUGCAAGAAAAAGUUGAAUUGUGAGAUAUAAACUUACAAAUGCAAGAAAAAGGUAAAUUAUGAGAUAUAAACUCACACAUGCAAGAAAAAGUUGAAUUGUGAGAUAUAAACUCACAAAUGUAAGAAAAAAGACAAUUAUGAGAUAUAAAAUCACAAAUGUAAGAAAAAGGAGAAUUGUGAGAUAUAAACUCACAAAUGCAAGAAAAAGGAGAAUUGUGAGAUAUAAACUCACUAAUGUAAGAAAAAAGACAAUUGUGAGAUAUAAACUCACAAAUGUAAGAAAAAAGACAAUUAUGAGAUAUAAACUCACAAAUACAAGAAAAAAAGACAAUUGAGAUAUAAACUCACAAAUGCAAGAAAAAGAGAGUUAUGAGAUAUAAACUCACAAUUGCAAGAAAAAAAGACAAUUAUGAGAUAUAAACUCACAAAUGUAAGAAAAAAGACAAUUAUGAGAUAUAAACUUACAAAUGUAAGAAAAAAAGACAGAUUUCUGAGAAAUAAACUCACAAAUGCAAGAAGGACAAUUAUGAUAUAUAGUCACAAAUGCAAGAAAAAAGACAAUUGUGAGAUAUAAACUCACAAAUGCAAGAAAAAGGACAAUUAUGAGAUAUAAACUCACAUGUAAGAAAAAAGACAAUUAUGAGAUAUAAACUCACAAAUGUAAGAAAAAGGACAAUUGUGAGAUAUAAACUCACAAAUGUAAGAACAAAGACAAUUGUGAGAUACAAACUCACAAAUGUAAGAAAAAAGACAAUUGUGAGAUAUAAACUCACAAAUGUAAGAAAAAGGACAAUUAUGAGAUAUAAAGUCACAAAUGUAAGAAAAAAGACAAUUAUGAGAAAUAAACACACAAAUGUAAGAAAAAAGACAAUUAUGAGAUAUAAACUUACAAAUGCAAGAAAAAGGUAAAUUAUGAGAUAUAAACUCACACAUGCAAGAAAAAGUUGAAUUGUGAGAUAUAAACUUACAAAUGCAAGAAAAAGGUAAAUUAUGAGAUAUAAACUCACACAUGCAAGAAAAAGUUGAAUUGUGAGAUAUAAACUCACAAAUGUAAGAAAAAAGACAAUUAUGAGAUAUAAAAUCACAAAUGUAAGAAAAAGGAGAAUUGUGAGAUAUAAACUCACAAAUGCAAGAAAAAGGAGAAUUGUGAGAUAUAAACU